GACGAACGCUGGCGGCGUGCUUAACACAUGCAAGUCGAACGGAAAGGCCCUGCUUUUGUGGGGUGCUUGAGUGGCGAACGGGUGAGUAACACGUGAGUAACCUGCCCUUGACUUUGGGAUAACUCCUGGAAACAGGGGAUAAUACCGGAGAGGAGCUCCUGCUGCAUGGUGGGGGUUGGAAAGUUUCGGCGGUUGGGGAUGUACUGGCGGCUUAUCAGCUUGUUGGUGAGGUAGUGGCGUACCAAGGCUUUGACGGGUAGCCGGCCUGGGAGGGUGGACAGCGACCUUGGGACUGCGAGACGGCGCAGACUCCUAUGGGAGGCAGUGGGGGGGAAUAUUGCACAGUAGGGGGAAGCCAGAUGCAGCAGCGCUGGGAGCGGGAAGCCGGCCUACGGGUUGUGAACAGCUGUCGCCUGUGACGAAGCGAGAGUGACGGUAAUGGGUAAAGAAGCACCGGCUAACUACGUG
rnacentral:rRNA from 1 species